rnacentral:rRNA from 1 species
UACGAAGGGGGCUAGCGUUGCUCGGAAUCACUGGGCGUAAAGCGCACGUAGGCGGACUCUUAAGUCAGGGGUGAAAUCCUGGAGCUCAACUCCAGAACUGCCUUUGAUACUGGGAGUCUUGAGUUCGGGAGAGGUGAGUGGAACUGCGAGUGUAGAGGUGAAAUUCGUAGAUAUUCGCAAGAACACCAGUGGCGAAGGCGGCUCACUGGCACGAGACUGACGCUGAGGUGCGAAAGCGUGGGGAGCGAACAGG